CCUACGCGAGGCAGCAGUGGGGAAUAUUGGGCAAUGGGCGCAAGCCUGACCCAGCAACGCCGCGUGAAGGAAGAAGGCUUUCGGGUUGUAAACUUCUUUUGACAGGGAAGAGCAGAAGACGGUACCUGUCGAAUAAGCCACGGCUAACUACGUGCCAGAAGCCGCGGUAAUACGUAGGUGGCAAGCGUUGUCCGGAUUUACUGGGGGUAAAGGGCGGGUAGCCGGGCUGACAAGUCAGAUGUGAAAUCCGGGGGCUCAACCCCCGAACUGCAUUUGAAACUGUUGGUCUUGAGUAUCGGAGAGGCAGGCGGAAUUCCUAGUGUAGCGGUGAAAUGCGUAGAUAUUGGGAGGAACACCAGUGGCGAAGGCGGCCUGCUGGACGACAACUGACGGUGAGGCGCGAAAGCGUGGGGAGCAAACAGGAUUAGAUACCCGAGUAGUC
rnacentral:rRNA from 1 species